ACUGCAGCCAUGGUUACCAAGUUGUAUCUGCUUCUUCUUACAGGUUGUGUGAUGGCACUGCCUGGCGAGAAGGCGCUUGGUGAGAAGGCACUUAGUGAGACGGCGCUUGGUAAGAGGACUAAAACAAAUAUUGAGUAUAACUGCACCGCGCCCUUUGUACCGAUAGCAGGACGCUGUCUGUUUUUCGAAUCCCUGACGAAGGGAA